AUCCUGAAGGAAAGGUUCUCACCCGCCAUCUUGGGUCAAGUGUGCAACCAAGGCCAGCGAAAGCAUGAGUCAUCCUGGGGCAGAUUAUCAACCUGAGCCUGUCAGUGAUGCAAGGGUGGGGGUCAUUGCACUAAAGAAUCUGAAUUGCUUGUGUGCAGAGUUUGCCUGUUUUAGCAAAGACCUGCAAUCAAUUACUUGCACAGUUACUGGAACUGGAAUUAAGAACUCUUUACUGAAAGAAAGAUUUAAAACUCCGAAUGCAAAAUAAGCACAUAAUUACAACUAUUACAAGUGCAGUGAAGAAAAAGUGCCUGACAUGAUAAGGAGGAGUAUCAGAUACUUGCUGAUCCAAAGCUUAAAGUCUAGCUGCUUUCUUACAUAUGAUGGAAAACUACAUCUUCCAACAUGUUAACACUAUCUCUCGAGUAACUGAUGUUUUUCUGGCAUCAUUAAAGAUCCACAAGAUGUAAUGGCAGGUGGAUUCACAUAAAACAAAGCUAGAACCCAGGGAAGGUCUGCUGACUCUUCCUCACAGACAGGAACUGGUAUACAUCUGUCAACAAAGGAGGUCAGAAGAGAACAGAAGUCAGAAGAGAGGACAAUUAAAAUAAGCCUCCUAUGCUGAAGUGUGCCCUAUGUCGAGUCCUGGCAAGAAACUGAAUUCCACAGGACUGGGCCCAGGCGCCUCCUACAGACUACACAUCUCCAUGUACUCAGUCUGCAUAGGAGCCAUCAUCUACGAGCCAAAAGGAGUGAGUCAGCCCCCAAGAACAGGGUACUACAGAACACUGGACAGCUACCUGCCAUGGCUGGCUCUUUACCACAUCCAUCCAGCUCUGGACACACCCCCCCGAGACAGAGAUCUGUGGUGGUGGGGACUUCCAGAAUGAUGCUGUCCUCCCCUACCCCACCCUGGAUAUAUGCUACUUUUGAACCAUGAGCUGUGACCAUAUGGCCUUAGGAAAGCUGAAGGAUCAGCCUGGGAACUUGUCUCUUCAUUUAGUCCCUAAUAAGACAAUAAAUGUUUUUAAAGGCUUUCCA
rnacentral:lncRNA from 1 species